UACGGAGGGUGCGAGCGUUGUUCGGAAUCACUGGGCGUAAAGGGAGCGUAGGCGGCGCGGUAAGUCAGAUGUGAAAAUCCCGGGGCUCAACCCCGGAGCUGCAUCCGAUACUGCCGUGCUAGAGGAUUGGAGAGGUAGCUGGAAUUCUUGGUGUAGCAGUGAAAUGCGUGGAGAUCAAGAGGAACACUCGUGGCGAAAGCGAGCUACUGGACAAUAUCUGACGCUGAGGCUCGAAGGCCAGGGUAGCGAAAGGG
rnacentral:rRNA from 1 species